rnacentral:lncRNA from 1 species
AAAAAUAGAAUGAAAUUCAAAACAGUGUAGCUGUGGCCAUUGAUUGACACAUUAAAAUCAUCCAUUGACUGGGACAAUUUACGUGAACGUUUGUCUGUAACGACCACUGUUCACGACGUACCUACGAUAGACAUUUAAACUGUGGGGUCACCAAAGGUUUCUUAACGCCUUUAAUUAUAUAAAAUAAUUCGAAAAAUUAAUCAG